rnacentral:pre_miRNA from 1 species
UAUUAAAAAUGUUAUCCAUUUGUACAAUUAAAAACUGGUAUAGUUGACAGAAUAACUAGACAAUGACAUAUCUACCGUAUGAUGAUGUACGAUGAGCAACUUUUAAUAGCUUAAAUGAAUAAUUUUUUUUAAUA